UUACCGCCGCGGCAGCAGGAGCCCUGUGGGUCCUGCUCCUUCGGCGAAAUCUUGCUGCCUGCCACUCGCCGCAACUGACUUCCAUCCGAAAUCUCAGCUUCCCAUGCCUGGCAGUGGAAGCUUUGGAGAUUCUGACCACUGUCCCUGGGGGAGCAUGUGGCAGGCUGUGGGGUUCCCGCGUCCCCGCUGAUUCCUGUACAGAGGCAGAGGCAGAGUGCGCUAGGAAUGGCUUUGCAGCCGAAGGCGUUAUCUUGCCAUUUUUGUGUCCCGAUACCGCACCAAAUGAUCGCCUGAUCGAUCGGAGACGGAGGCGAAGAGUGAUAGAGGGAAUAAGCGUUUGCCCUGGAUAUAAAUGUUCUUGAGACUGACAAAAGCUGCUACAGAAACUGAGGGCCACGAAAGAGGGUGAUACCCUGAAGUUGUGAUAUGUUAAGUUCACAGUUAUCAUAUUAGAGCCCAAUAUGCUAUCUAAGCCUACUACUUAAAUUUCUAUUCAAACAAAUACAGUUGUCUGUUGAGUACUACACUUAAAUUUGAAAAUAUUAAAUAUUAAAAUAUUA